AUUGAACGCUGGCGGCAGGCCUAACACAUGCAAGUCGAGCGGGGUUUUCGGACCCAGCGGCGGACGGGUGAGUAAUGCGUAGGAAGCUACCCGAUAGAGGGGGAUACCAGUUGGAAACGACUGUUAAUACCGCAUAAUGUCUACGGACCAAAGUGUGGGACCUUCGGGCCACAUGCUAUCGGAUGCGCCUACGUGGGAUUAGCUAGUUGGUGAGGUAAUGGCUCACCAAGGCGACGAUCCCUAGUUGGUUUGAGAGGAUGAUCAGCCACACUGGAACUGAGACACGGUCCAGACUCCUACGGGAGGCAGCAGUGGGGAAUAUUGGACAAUGGGCGCAAGCCUGAUCCAGCCAUGCCGCGUGUGUGAAGAAGGCCUUCGGGUUGUAAAGCACUUUCAGUAGGGAGGAAGGGUUAAGUGUUAAUAGUACUUAACUUUGACGUUACCUACAGAAGAAGCACCGGCUAACUCUGUGCCAGCCGCCGCAGUAAAAC
rnacentral:rRNA from 1 species